AUUGAACGCUGGCGGCAGGCCUAACACAUGCAAGUCGAGCGAGCGGCGGACGGGUGAGUAAUGUAUGGGGACUGCCCGAUAGAGGGGGAUAACUACUGGAAACGGUGGCUAAUACCGCAUACUAUCGGAUAACCCAUAUGGGAUUAGCUAGUAGGUGGGGUAAAGGUUCACCUAGGCGACGACCACUAGCUGGUCUGAGAGGAUGAUCCGCCACACUGGGACUGAGACACGGCCCAGACUCCUACGGAGGCAGCAGUGGGGAAUAUUGCGCAAUGGGCGCAAGCCUGAUGCAGCAAUGCCGCGUGAAUGAUGAAGGCCUUAGGAUUGUAAAGUACUGUCAGCGGGGAGGCGUUACCUGCAGAAGAAGCACCGGCUAACUCCGUGCCAGCAGCCGCGGUAAUAC
rnacentral:rRNA from 1 species